rnacentral:rRNA from 1 species
GACGAACGCUGGCGGCGUGCUUAACACAUGCAAGUCGAACGGAAAGGCCUCUUUCGGGGGGUACUCGAGUGGCGAACGGGUGAGUAACACGUGAGUAACCUGCCCUUGACUUUGGGAUAACUUCAGGAAACUGGGGCUAAUACCGGAUAGGAGCUCCUGCUGCAUGGUGGGGGUUGGAAAGUUUCGGCGGUUGGGGAUGGACUCGCGGCUUAUCAGCUUGUUGGUGGGGUAGUGGCUUACCAAGGCUUUGACGGGUAGCCGGCCUGAGAGGGUGACCGGCAACAUGGGGACUGGGAUCCGGCCAGACUCCUACGGGAGGCAGCAGUGGGGAAUAUUGCACAAUGGGUGGAAGCCUGAUGCAGCAACGCCGUGUGCGGGAUGACGGCCUUCGGGUUGUAAACCGCUUUCGCUCAUGACGAAGCUUUGUGUGACGGUAGUGGGUAAAGAAGCACCGGCUAACUACGUG